rnacentral:rRNA from 1 species
UACGAAGGGGGCUAGCGUUGUUCGGAGUUACUGGGCGUAAAGGGCGCGUAGGCGGCCCUUCAAGUCGGGCGUGAAAGCCCACGGCUCAACCGUGGAAUUGCGCUCGAGACUGAAGAGCUCGAGGAUGGGAGAGGAUGGUGGAAUUCCCAGUGUAGAGGUGAAAUUCGUAGAUAUUGGGAAGAACACCGGUGGCGAAGGCGGCCAUCUGGACCAUUUCUGACGCUGAGGCGCGAAAGCGUGGGGAGCAAACAGGAUUAGAUACCCUGGUAGUCCACGCCGUAAACGAUGAGUGCUAGACGUUGGGGAGCCUAGCUCUUCGGUGUCGCAGCUAACGCAUUAAGCACUCCGCCUGGGGAGUACGGCCGCAAGGUUAAA